GAGCGGUAAGGCCCUUCGGGGUACACGAGCGGCGAACGGGUGAGUAACACGUGGGUGAUCUGCCUUGCACUUCGGGAUAAGCCUGGGAAACCGGGUCUAAUACCGGAUAUGACCACGAGAUGCAUGUCUUGUGGUGGAAAGAUUUAUCGGUGCGAGAUGGGCCCGCGGCCUAUCAGCUUGUUGGUGAGGUAACGGCUCACCAAGGCGACGACGGGUAGCCGACCUGAGAGGGUGACCGGCCACACUGGGACUGAGACACGGCCCAGACUCCUACGGGAGGCAGCAGUGGGGAAUAUUGCACAAUGGGCGAAAGCCUGAUGCAGCGACGCCGCGUGCGGGAUGACGGCCUUCGGGUUGUAAACCGCUUUUGACAGGGACGAAGCGCAAGUGACUGUACCUGUAGAAUAAGGACCGGCCAACUACGUGCCAGCAGCCGCGGUAAUACGUAGGGUCCGAGCGUUGUCCGGAAUUACUGGGCGUAAAGAGCUUGUAGGCGGUUCGUCGCGUCGUUUGUGAAAACUUGGGGCUCAACCUUAAGCUUGCAGGCGAUACGGGCGGACUAGAGUACUUCAGGGGAGACUGGAAUUCCUGGUGUAGCGGUGAAAUGCGCAGAUAUCAGGAGGAACACCGGUGGCGAAGGCGGGUCUCUGGGAAGUAACUGACGCUGAGAAGCGAAAGCAUGGGUAGCAAACAGGAUUAGAUACCCUGGUAGUCCAUGCCGUAAACGGUGGGUACUAGGUGUGGGGCUCCUUCCACGGACUCCGUGCCGUAGCUAACGCAUUAAGUACCCCGCCUGGGGAGUACGGCCGCAAGGCUAAAACUCAAAGAAAUUGACGGGGGCCCGCACAAGCGGCGGAGCAUGUGGAUUAAUUCGAUGCAACGCGAAGAACCUUACCUGGGUUUGACAUACACCGGAAACCUGCAGAGAUGUAGGCCCCCUUGUGGUCGGUGUACAGGUGGUGCAUGGCUGUCGUCAGCUCGUGUCGUGAGAUGUU
rnacentral:rRNA from 1 species